AUUGAACGCUGGCGGCAGGCCUAACACAUGCAAGUCGAGCGAACGGCGGACGGGUGAGUAAUGUCUGGGAAACUGCCUGAUGGAGGGGGAUAACUAAUUGAAACGGUAGCUAAUACCGAAUAACAUCCGAUGUGCCAAGAUGGGAUGAGCUAGUAGGUGGGGUAAAGGCUCACCUAGGCGACGAUCCCUAGCUGGUCUGAGAGGAUGACCAGCCAACCGGGACCUGAGACACGGUUCAGACUCCUACGGGUGGCAGCAGUGGGGAAUAUUGCACAAUGGGCGCAAGCCUGAUGCAGCCAUGCAGGGUGUGUGAAGAAGGCCUUCGGGUUGUAAAGCACUUUCAGCGAGGAGGCGUUACCCGCAGAAGAAGCACCGGCUAACUCCGUGCUAGCAGCCGCGGUAAUAC
rnacentral:rRNA from 1 species